UACGUAGGGGCCUAGCGUUGUCCGGAUUUAUUGGGCGUAAAGAGCUCGUAGGCGGCUUGGUAAGUCAGGUGUGAAAUCUCCACGCUCAACGUGGAGGCGCCACCUGAAACUGCCAUGGCUUGAGUCCGGUAGGGGAGUGUGGAAUUCCCGGUGUAGCGGUGAAAUGCGCAGAUAUCGGGAGGAACACCGGUGGCGAAGGCGGCAUCCUGGACCAACACUGACGCUGAUGAGCGAAAGCCAGGGGAGCAAACGGG
rnacentral:rRNA from 1 species